rnacentral:rRNA from 1 species
GACGAACGCGGGCGGCGUGCUUAACACAUGCAAGUCGAACGGAAAGGCCCUGCUUUUGUGGGGUGCUCGAGUGGCGAACGGGUGAGUAACACGUGAGUAACCUGCCCUUGACUUUGGGAUAACUUCAGGAAACUGGGGCUAAUACCGGAUAGGAGCUCCUGCUGCAUGGUGGGGGUUGGAAAGUUUCGGCGGUUGGGGAUGGACUCGCGGCUUAUCAGCUUGUUGGUGGGGUAGUGGCUUACCAAGGCUUUGACGGGUAGCCGGCCUGAGAGGGUGACCGGCCACAUUGGGACUGAGAUACGGCCCAGCCUCCUACGGGAGGCAGCAGUGGGGAAUAUUGCACAAUGGGCGGAAGCCUGAUGCAGCAACGCCGCGUGCGGGAUGACGGCCUUCGGGUUGUAAACCGCUUUCGCCUGUGACGAAGCGUGAGUGACGGUAAUGGGUAAAGAAGCACCGGCUAACUACGUG